AGGAAAGAGCUAGCGGAGUGGGCGGUCAAAUUUAAUAUUUCCACCGUUGCAACUAGUAGUCUGUUAGGAAUUCUACAAAAAUAUAUUAGAGAUAUUCCAAAGGAUGCACGAACUUUAAAGUGUACUCCUAAGAUUCCACCCAUAGAGAAAAUGGGAACAGGAGAGUAUAUUCACUACGGCAUAGAAGACUCCCUGACAGAUUUUUUAUUGAGGAAAUCAUUUGAUUCCACCGAAAUUCACCUCAACAUUAAUAUUGAUGGCCUUCCACUUGCAAAAAGUUCUAAUUUGCAAGCUUGGCCUAUUUUAAUAAAUGUAAAUGGGGAACCAGUUGUCAUGGUUGUGGGAGCAUAUUGCGAAAAUAGUAAGGCACUCUGCCCGAACAUCUUCUUGCAACGAUUUGUGGAUGAGUUGUUGUACUUAUUAGAACAUGGUUUAAACUUCAAUGGUAAACAUUUUUCAAUUUAUUGUCGGUCUUUUAUUUGUGAUGCCCCAGCAAGAUCCUAUGUAUUGGGUGUUAAAGGACACACUGGCUUUUUUUGUUGCAUAAAAUGCACUCAAAAAGGCGAAUCUGUUGGACAUCGGAUAAUUUUCCGUAGUGAAAUCUAUCCUAAUAGAACAGUUGCAGAUUUUCGCUCACGAAGUAAUGUAAAUCAUCAUAAAAUAUUGGACCAAAUAGCUAUUGAAAAGUUACCAAUCGACAUUGUGAAGUCAUUUCCAUAUGACUAUAUGCAUGUGGUGUGUUUAGGUGUCAUGAAAAGCUUACUUCUUGGCUGGAUUAGGCACAAAAAUAGAUUGUAUUCUUUAAAACCAGACCAAAUUAAUUCAUUAAAUUCUAAAAUACUCUUUUUAAGUAAUCAGGUUCCCAAAGAAUUUGCUCGACAUCCACGUACCCUACAAGAAAUUGAGAGGUUUAAGGCUACAGAACUAAGGCAGUUUCUAUUAUAUACCGGAAUUGUUUUACUAGCUGAUAUUUUAGACGCUGAAAGGUACAAUCACUUUUUGCUACUUAGUUUGGGUAUGCGAAUUUUAUUAAAUGAAACCUCUUGCAUCGAAAAUAAUGAGUGUGCGAAAAUUCUUUUAAGUGAAUUCGUCAAAAACAUUUCUAGACUUUAUGACGAUUCAUUCUUAACUUUUAACUUCCACUGUCUUACUCAUUUACAUUCUGAUGCAUUAAAUUAUGGAGGAUUAGAAUCUAUUAGCGCAUUUAAGUUCGAGAACUUUUUGUCCAAGCUUAAACGUAAAUGUAAUAGUAAAACUCAUAUUGCUGCCCAAAUUUAUAAUCGUUUAGUUGAGGAAAGUUUGUUCAGUAAUGAUAAUUUUGAGGUUGCAAAUGUAAAGCAAAAUCAGCCAAUGAAAUCAAUAAAUACAAAUUCAUUUUAUUUAUCCUUAAAAAUGCCAGAUAAUUUUUACAACAUAAAAAAUAAGAUUUUUAAAGUCAUAAAUUUUUCACAGGAAAAUGGUGUAUCAAAAAUUUCAUCCGUGGAAGUUAUUAAUUUGAAUGACUUUUUUAUUACACCAAUAAAAUCAUCAAACUUUAAUAUAAGAUAUUGCUCUGCUUUACAAUUUUCAAGUUGCGUCUAUCAGCAUUUAGCGGAAGAAAUAUCACAAAAAAUGAUCUUGCUUAGUAAUUUUGAAUGUAGUCAAUAUGUAUUUAUUCCUCUUAUUCACAAUUAGAUGGAUUUCAAUAGCUCGUUUAUAUCGAUUGGAUGUGAGCAAACCACUAAAUCAAGUAAGUAGUUAAUACAAUAUCGUUUUUUGAAGUGGUUCUAACAUUUUAAUUAAGUCGUAGAUUUUGACGACUUAAGUAGCAAACUGGAUAGUCUGGAUAAGAAGGUAGAAGAUUUGUUAAAAGAACAUCAUACAACUCAAAAGCUUCUGAAGAGAGUAUUGGAAGAAGUUAAAUCGACCUCACAUAAUGCUA
rnacentral:misc_RNA from 1 species